rnacentral:tmRNA from 1 species
GGGGCUGACCGGUAUUGACAGGAUGCGUGAGGGUGUGAGUAAGCAUGCAGGCUCAUGGGAUGAGAGCCUUGAAAGAUAGUCCUACCAUUUACGUGGCGAAAAUACUUACGCCAUGGCUGCUUAAUCUGACGUACUGUUAGAUUAGCUUGUCUCGCUUAAGAAGUGAGAGGCCAUCAUCGCCCAUACCUCUGUUCUGCGGGUGUGGAUCAGCGGUGUCGACAGCUUGAACUGGGCCACUUCGUUGUUGCGCGAGGUUGUCGAGAAAACAGUAACUAAGAAGUAGUUUAGGCUGUUGCCUGCCUUGCUAUUUCCGACAAUUAAAGUCAACUAAGCAUGUAGAAGGUACACGUUCAUCUUCUCUGGACCAGGGUUCGAUUCCCUGCAGCUCCACUU